rnacentral:rRNA from 1 species
UAACACGUAGGGUGCGAGCGUUGUCCGGAAUUAUUGGGCGUAAAGAGCUCGUAGGCGGUGUGUCGCGUCGGCCGUGAAAACUUGCAGCUUAACUGUGGGCGUGCGGUCGAUACGGGCAUCACUGGAGUUCGGCAGGGGAGACUGGAAUUCCUGGUGUAGCGGUGAAAUGCGCAGAUAUCAGGAGGAACACCGGUGGCGAAGGCGGGAUCCUGGGCCAGUACUGACGCUGAGGAGCGAAAGCGUGGGGAGCAAACAGGAUUAGAUACCCUGGUAGUCCACGCCGUAAACGAUGGGCGCUAGGUGUGGGAGGUCAUCGACUCCUUCCGUGCCGCAGCUAACGCAUUAAGCGCCCCGCCUGGGGAGUACGGCCGCAAGGCUA